rnacentral:siRNA from 1 species
UGGAACGGACACAACCGCAGUGAC